UUAGUCAACAGUACGUCAGUUUUCACUACAUAUAUUCACUUCCUGUGUUCAUUACUAAUCGAACUCUUCCUUCAAACUGAGGCCUUUUAAGGCAACAAGACGUACUGCCCAGAACGUUUAAAGAUCUACUGUUCGUUUUUAUUUGAUUCAAGUCCAGUCAGUUUAUUACUAAUUAAAGAUCCGUGUCCAGUCAAUGUGAUCCUUCUACAGUCAAGUUGUUAUUAUAAUCAAUGUGAUCCUUGUACAGUCAAGUUACUAUUUAUAGAUGCUUUAGAUGAUGGCACAACCUAACUUAUAAAUUAGGCUGACCGCAGAGGUACAUUCAUCAGUGUUUAUUUAUUAGUAUGUAUUGUAUAAGAGAACAAAACAAAUCAAUCCAUAACGACUGCCACGUUGAUCUUCAUGGUGUUGUGUGUUGUGUUAACUUUUAGUGUGGGAGGUGGUGGGUUUGAACCCUGGACAGUUCAACCAAAGACUUGAAAAAUAAUAUUUGCUGCUUCUCCAAAAUAAGAUCUGGGAAAGUGCAAUAGAUGUUCUGGUGUUCGAUGAAAAGAGUCCCACCCUGUUUGUAGAAUACAUUAGUACCUCAUUUAGGAUAUAAUGGAGGAUUGGAAUGAGAAACUUGUUACAGCUGCUAGGGAGGGAGAUAAAGAAGCCUUAAAAUUGUGCUUACAGAAUGAUGUAGAAAUUGAUUAUCAAGGAUAUGAUGGAGAGACAGCAUUAAUGGUGGCUACCAGGAGAGGACACAUGGAGGUCUGUAGACUCCUCAUUGAUACAGGAUGUAAGAUCGACAUCAUAGAA